GAAAAUUUUGUGUAAGAAUGAGUGGGAUAAUUGGAAGUAGGGACAAUCGAUCGUUAAUAUAAUUAAUGAACUCAAUGAGUGGGGAGCAUUUUCUCUUGUAAGGGCGUACUGGGUGUACGUUCUGUGUGUGACGAAAAAUCCUCGACCUGCGUAAUAGCGGGUCGUUAAAACUAUCAUCAAAUUAUUGCGAUUUGAAUGGCGAAGUUCGAUGUACUCCGACGAAUUUUUGGAAAUUGAUUUGUAAUCUUGGAAGAAUAAACGGACUCAUCCUAGGGAUCAUCAUGCGUGUCCCAUGAAUUUUGAGCGUCAUCACCUUCUGAUAUACUCAACAUUCAUUGAAUCCCCCCACGGAAUGAUGUAUGCGCUAGGUAUCAGUCGUCAAACUAUUUUUUACUGUCGCCAAAGAGUGAGUACACCAUUUUAACGCAUUACUGAUAAUUUCGAAAGAAAAACGAUUUUAUUUGAUAUCUCACACAGUGAGUAUUAUUUUGUAAAAAUGAGAUAAAAUAUCGUCACACGAAAAAUUCAAUUUUAUCAAAGAUAUUUAUAUUUUUGUUUUAUGGAGAAAAUGCUCUAAAAAUUGUUGUCCUUGUUUUUUUUUUUGUAUAAUGUAUAUUGAGAAAAUAGUUUAAAUUUUUAUGUCUCUUUUAUUUAAUCACGUAUUUUUUAUAUUAUAUUGAUGAUAUUUAAUAAUUUGCAAAUUCUGUUAUCGUACGAUUUCUAAAUAUAAAAGUGUGUAUUGCGUAUGUAUGUGAUGAGCUCAUCCUGGAUAUUUCUAUAAAUUUGUUUUUGAACGCGAUAAUUGCCAGACAAAAAUCUAAACACAUAUGAAUGCUGAUUUAUUAUAUUCUUGUAAAUGAUUUUGAGUGUAUUAAAUUCUAAAAUUAUUUUUAUAUCAA